UGAGGAAUCUUCCGCAAUGGGCGCAAGCCUGACGGAGCGACGCCGCGUGAAGGAUGAAGGACCUUACGGGUCGUAAACUUCUGUUCUGAGGGACGAAAUUUUUGACGGUACCUCAGGAGAAAGUAUCGGCAAACCCUGUGCCAGCAGCCGCGGUAAGACAGGGGAUACAAGCGUUACUCGGAAUUACUGGGCGUAAAGCGUCUGUAGGUGCUUUGGUAAGUCUGUGGUAAAAGCUCGGGGCUCAACCCCGAGAGCGUCAUGGAAACUACCGAAGUUGAGCAGUAGAGAGGCAUCUGGAAUGCCGCAUGUAGGAGUAAAAUCCGUAGAUAUGCGGUAGAACGCCAAAAGCGUAGGCAGGAUGCUAGCUACUUGCUGACACUGAGAGACGAAAGCGUGGGGAGCGAAGCGGAUUAGAUACCCCAGUAGUCCCUGAGCGGGCUGGCAAGGCGCAU
rnacentral:rRNA from 1 species